rnacentral:rRNA from 1 species
UACGUAGGGGGCAAGCGUUGUCCGGAUUUAUUGGGCGUAAAGAGCGUGUAGGCGGCCGUACAGGUCAGCUGUGAAAACUCGAGGCUCAACCUCGAGACGUCGGUUGAAACCGUACGGCUAGAGUCCGGAAGAGGAGAGUGGAAUUCCCGGUGUAGCGGUGAAAUGACGCAGAUAUCGGGAAGAACACCCGUGGCGAAGGCGGCUCUCUGGGACGGUACUGAACGCGUGAGACGCGAAAGCGUGGGGAGCAACAGG